GCCCCCGUAGCUCAAUGGACAGAGCAGCUGCCUUCUAAGCAGAAGGUUGUGGGUUCGAAUCCCGCCGGGGGCGCUA
rnacentral:tRNA from 1 species